GCCGACGUAGCUCAACUGGUAGAGCAGCGGUUUUGUAAACCGCCGGUCCUGGGUUCGAAUCCCAGCGUCGGCU
rnacentral:tRNA from 1 species